rnacentral:tRNA from 1 species
GCGGUGGCGUUAAAGCGUCUCUCAACCCGCUAGACCUAGCGACUCAUAAUCCGUUGGUCGCGGGUUCGAGCCCCGCCCGCCCCACCA